CCUGUGUCAGUGCCGCUGGCGCGAAUAGCCAGUGUGGUUUGAAAGAUAGUAAUUUCAGCGUUUAAAAUUUAAUAUCACAAGGGAACAGCGCUGAACAAAUCUAUGCUGAGUUAAUGGAAGUGUAUGCAAAGAUGCACUGUCAUAUGACACAGUGAUUAAGUGGCGCAAACGCUUUGAAUCCGGUGAAACAAGUCUUCAUUCACCUGAUGAAGAACCAAGUGAAAUGCCAUUGCUUUGUGAAGAACAGGAAGUGAAGAGAGAGUUUGCCAAAUGCUUGGAUCAUAAACUUAAAAGUAUGGAUGAGCACCAAGUUGUACCUGAUGUUGUUGAUAAAGCCCCUCCUCAGAUCUUGGAGGU